rnacentral:tRNA from 1 species
GCCUUCGUAGUGUAGUGGUCAGCACACUCCGCGCGUAACCGAGAGGUCCAUGGUUCGAUUCCUGGAGAAGGCG